rnacentral:rRNA from 1 species
UACGGGGGGUGCGAGCGUUGUCCGGAAUCACUGGGCGUAAAGGGCGCGUAGGUGGUCUGAUAAGGGUGUGGUGAAAGCCCGGGGCUCAACCCCGGGUCGGCCGUGCCGACUGUUAGACUAGAGUAUUGUAGAGGGUAGUGGAAUUUCCGGUGUAGCGGUGAAAUGCGUAGAGAUCGGAAGAAACACCGGUGGCGAAGGCGGCAUCCUGGACCAUUACUGACACUGAGAAGCGAAAGCCAGGGGAGCAAACGGG